UACAGAGGGUGCAAGCGUUGUUCGGAAUUAUUGGGCGUAAAGGGCGCGUAGGCGGUUUGGUAGGUCCGUUGUGAAAACUCGAGGCUCAACCUCGAGACGCCGAUGGAAACCAUCAGACUCGAGUCCGGGAGAGGUGAGUGGAACUGCGAGUGUAGAGGUGAAAUUCGUAGAUAUUCGCAAGAACACCAGUGGCGAAGGCGGCUCACUGGCCCGGUACUGACGCUGAGGUGCGAAAGCGUGGGGAGCAAACAGG
rnacentral:rRNA from 1 species